rnacentral:tRNA from 1 species
GGGGGAGUGCCCGAGUGGUUAAAGGGAGCAGACUGUAAAUCUGCCGGCGAAGCCUACGGAGGUUCGAAUCCUUCCUCCCCCACCC